GAAGGGGCAGCUGCUACUUCACAAUGACUGAAACAUCCUGUCUUUUCUGGAUUAUGUCUCCUACUGGUGUUAGUGUAUCCUAGCAUUCAGG
rnacentral:lncRNA from 1 species